UGGGGAAUAUUGCACAAUGGGGGAAACCCUGAUGCAGCGACGCCGCGUGCGGGAUGAAGGCCUUCGGGUUGUAAACCGCUUUCAGCAGGGACGAAGCGAGAGUGACGGUACCUGCAGAAGAAGCGCCGGCUAACUACGUGCCAGCAGCCGCGGUAAUACGUAGGGCGCAAGCGUUGUCCGGAAUUAUUGGGCGUAAAGAGCUCGUAGGCGGCUUAUUGCGUCCGCUGUGAAAUCCCGGGGCUCAACCCUGGGCGUGCAGUGGAUACGGGUAGGCUAGAGGCAGGCAGGGGAGAACGGAAUUCCCGGUGUAGCGGUGAAAUGCGCAGAUAUUGGGAGGAACACCGGUGGCGAAGGCGGUUCUCUGGGCCUGUACUGACGCUGAGGAGCGAAAGCGUGGGGAGCGAACAGG
rnacentral:rRNA from 1 species